CAUUAUCCUUGCAACGUGGCAGCUGCUACGUAACAUUCCCAGAUUCUGGACUGCGGCAAAAACCUUCCCUGAAAGAGCACCAAAUGACAAGCGCCAGCAAGAUAAUUAUAAUUGUAGCCUCUUUUGAUACGUGGCAACCAAACACAGGGCUUUGACAACAGCAAAAAAGAUGGCCUUUUCGUAGGCUCCAGUCUAAUAAAUAAGCCAACUAGUAUCCUAUGUGGGAGAAAAGUGUUUACAAGAAAAGCUUCUGCACCACCAGAGAAAGAGAAAAUGACUUCCAAGCCAAAUGAGUUUGCAUACUUUUAGUUAUUCUGUAGGAUAGUGAUGAAUGCAAUAUUAAUGGGUCCUAUUUUUCAGAGAAGACAAACCAAAGCAUCAAAACAAAAUAAAACACAAUUUCUAUAU